GUAAAGUAAACAAUUUAAUAAUAAUAAAAAUAAUUUAUCAUAAGAAAAAUACUAAAAGUUGACAGAUUAUAGCAAGAAUUGGCUACCAAACUAUCUGGUAUUUUUAUUCGUUAUUUUUAUGUUACAUUAGUUUUUUAAAUGGGCCAUUUUUUACGGUCAUGUGUAGUUGUACCUUCAAUUGGUUUAUAACAGCCUUAAGCUGAACUAUUGCACCGAUUUAAACAAAAGUCCUAAUGCCACCCCCUAGUAAGAUAUCUUUGUUGAUAUAUUAUGCAAGUCGUAAAAGUAAAGGAUUUGCCUGCAAAUUAGGAAAAAAUAGACAUAGCAAUGUAAAUUUCAGCAGUUUUCCCCCGUCUUUAAUAUCGAAGUUAAAUUAACGGAAUCAGGCUACGAUUUGAAAAUGGAACCAUGGAAAAUGGAAAGUUAGAGAAUUGUGAAGUGGAACGUAUGCUCCGAUAGUAUCGUCCAAAAUAUCUGAACCAAGCCGAGUUGCUUGACAUGCCCUAACCACUAAAGCAAAUGCAGUUCUUAUUUUAAAACGAUAUCCAUGGUGUUUAAAAUAUAAAAAAAACUACAAGUUAUUUCUUAAAAUGUUUAACAGUUUUGUAUGUUUAACAGUUUUACAACAAUAUGUCAAAUAAAAUUUAUUAAAUGCUGCAUAUUUUAUUUGUGUGGAUUUGUUAUUAAUAAAGGUUCAAUGUUAGAUAAUCUAUAUUUAGUUGCUUUUUGAAUGGUAUUAUAUGAAAUACACUUAUAUU